rnacentral:rRNA from 1 species
AGAGUUUUGAUCAUGGCUCAGGACGAACGCUGGCGGCGUGCUUAACACAUGCAAGUCGAGCGACUGUGUUCUUCGGGACAUAUGGAGCGGCGAACGGGUGAGUAACACGUGGGCAACCUGCCCUCAGCUCUGGGAUAACUCCGGGAAACCGGGGCUAAUACCGGAUAUGACUGCUCCUGGCAUCUGGGGUGGUGGAAAGUUUUUCGGCUGAGGAUGGGCCCGCGGCCUAUCAGCUUGUUGGUGGGGUAAUGGCCCACCAAGGCGACGACGGGUAGCCGGCCUGAGAGGGCGGCCGGCCACACUGGGACUGAGACACGGCCCAGACUCCUACGGGAGGCAGCAGUGGGGAAUAUUGCGCAAUGGGCGAAAGCCUGACGCAGCGACGCCGCGUGAGGGAUGAAGGCCUUCGGGUUGUAAACCUCUUUCAGCAGGGACGAAGCGAGAGUGACGGUACCUGCAGAAGAAGCACCGGCCAACUACGUGCCAGCAGCCGCGGUAAUACGUAGGGUGCAAGCGUUGUCCGGAAUUAUUGGGCGUAAAGAGCUCGUAGGCGGUUUGUCGCGUCGGCUGUGAAAUCUCGGGGCUCAACCCCGAGCCUGCAGUCGAUACGGGCAGACUAGAGUGCUGUAGGGGAGACUGGAAUUCCUGGUGUAGCGGUGAAAUGCGCAGAUAUCAGGAGGAACACCGGUGGCGAAGGCGGGUCUCUGGGCAGUAACUGACGCUGAGGAGCGAAAGCGUGGGGAGCAAACCAGGAUUAGAUACCCUGGUAGUCCACGCCGUAAAACGGUGGGUGCUAGGUGUGAGCGGUAUUCCACGCCGUUCGUGCCGCAGCUAACGCAUUAAGCACCCCGCCUGG